CCAUGGAUCACACAUUUUUGUAAAGAACUUGCCUUACUUUGUCCCUGUCUUUCCAAUUUUGGCCCACUGUUUAUUAAUGUUUAUCAAACUGGAGAGUGUGUUUUAGACGGUGUGUGAAUGGGUUGUUCAGAGUUUUAUUUGAAUGGUGUAUAUGUAAUAAAAUGUUUUUCUAUUCUAAAACCUACUGGCCGUUUUUGUACUUGGAUACCACUUUGAUGUACUUUUACUUAACACUCAAACUCAAAUAUUAUUGUAUGAUUGUUUUUUUGUUUUUUUUAUCGCUGUGAUACAAAACAUAUCUGUGUAAUUCUAUUCCUGAAUAUUUCUGCACUUUCCUAACUAGUAGUGUAUUAUUGUUGUAUCUACACAGCGGUGUUGAAUGUGAAGACAGGUGCUUAUAUUUGUCUUACAUUUUUAGAUAUGUGGCUUCAAUGAAUGAAUGAAUCUGGGAAGAAGUUCUGAAAGACCAACAGAGGCUCUGAGAAAGGAUACUUCAUUUCCAUUACCAGAGAAGAUGAGACCUCCACACAGACGGAACCUGCAACAGUCGAAUGACCGACUGUAAUUUAGUUUUUCUGCGUCCUCUUAUAGAGAAGAACCUCAUCAGAAGAUCCACGACAAAGGAAGACCAAGUGAGAGUAAGGAGACACCAGUAAAUCUACAUUUAGUCUCCAUACUUUGUAAAAAUACAGCACACACUAGCAGGAAUGUUGUAACAGAGUAUGUCAAAAUACAGUAAAAGAACAUCAGUGUAUAGUACUGUAUGUUGUGAAAAAAAGCGUGGAAAUCUUAUAGUAUAGCGGGCCAAAAAAUAUUCAGUAUGUUAAAAGCAAAAGCAGAGCAUUUUAAAUCGAUUAUACAGUUAAAGAGUCAUACGGGAGGUAUUUUAAAAAGUCAUAGUCAUAAAGAAACGUUGAAGCAUGUUCAAAAAAGAACAUAAUACAUACUCGAACUAUGGCAUGAUGAAAAGCAUGAAUGAUGUCUAAAUAUGUGAAAAUGAAUUAUUUUUAAAGAACACAGUAAAUGUCAGAGAGGAAUCAUACUAAAGUGAGGCGGACGUUUAACUACGGCAUGUAGUUGAAAAAGGUCGUAGCGUAGUGUGUCAAACAGUCCUAGAAUAUCUUCUAACAUGUGGAAAAAGUACUUAAAAAGGCAUAAAUAAAUAAAAUGCUCUUCUAUUUUCAUAUAGAACCGCCUGUCUGUCAUACAAAUAUAAUUAAACAAAUGAAGGAUUAGAUAAGUCAUAAAACAGUGUAGUACGCCAUAAAAGACACACCAUGUCUUAAAAAAAGCUCAUGGUAUAGUAUGUUAUAAAGAUUCAUGAUUAUAUCGCUCAUCAACAUUAUUUUAUGCGAUAAAUGGGUCAUUAAAACAUCAUGGUAUACUAUUAAAAAAUAAUUUGAUAAAACUACUUUAUCUGGGAAAACAGACUAUUUUCAUUUCAUAAAGGCGAGUAGAGAUGGAGUGUGUGCAAAUGACCCGAUACUAGUGUAUGAAUUAUUGUGUGUCUGUCCUUUAUUUGAGCAGCUGGAGCACCACAGGGAGGCUCAUCAAGUAUCCGUAUGAUUAAGCAUUAAAUGUGUUUCUUCCUGACAGACUGCAGCUUUCUGAAUUAAAUUGUACACAUAAUUAAAGUUCUUGAUGGAAAUAACAGAAAUUCAUUCUAAUAAAGAUGUUUGUGUUUU